UGGUAGUUAGUUUAAGUAAAAUAAAUGAUUUCGACUCAUUAGAUUAUGCACAGCGCAUAAUUACCAA
ensembl:Mt_tRNA